CCCUUAGAUGUCCUGGGCUGCACGCGCGCUACACUGAUGUGUCCAGUAAGCACCUAACCUAUUCCGAGAGGAGCGGGUAACCUUAGCAAAGCACAUCGUGAUGGGGAUAGAUUAUUGCAAUUAUUAGUCUUGAACGAGGAAUUCCUAGUAAGCACAAGUCAUCAGCUUGUGUUGAUUACGUCCCUGCCCUUUGUACACACCGCCCGUCGCUCCUACCGAUUGAAUGCUCCGGUGAGCUCUUCGGACUGCGCGGUCUGCAGUUUCUGCGUUCCGUGCGGAAAGUUGUGCAAACCUUAACAUUUAGAGGAAGGAGAAGUCGUAACA
rnacentral:rRNA from 1 species